UACGGAAGGGGCAAGCGUUGUUCGGAAUCAUUGGGCGUAAAGGGCGCGUAGGUGGUUCGGUAUGUCUACCGUGAAAGCGUACGGCUCAACCGUACUUUGUCGGUAGAAACUGCAGGACUUGAGGCUGGGAGGGGCUGGUGGAAUUCCCUGUGUAGCGGUGAAAUGCGUAGAGAUGGGGGAGAACACUCGUGGCGAAGGCGGCCAGCUAGACCAGUUCUGACACUGAGGCGCGACAGCGUGGGGGGCAAACAGG
rnacentral:rRNA from 1 species